rnacentral:rRNA from 1 species
GAUGAACGCUGGCGGCGUGCCUAAUACAUGCAAGUCGAGCGAACGGACGAGAAGCUUGCUUUUCUGAUGUUAGCGGCGGACGGGUGAGUAACACGUGGAUAACCUACCUAUAAGACUGGGAUAACUUCGGGAAACCGGAGCUAAUACCGGAUAAUAUUUUGAACCGCAUGGUUCAAAAGUGAAAGACGGUCUUGCUGUCACUUAUAGAUGGAUCCGCGCUGCAUUAGCUAGUUGGUAAGGUAACGGCUUACCAAGGCAACGAUGCAUAGCCGACCUGAGAGGGUGAUCGGCCACACUGGAACUGAGACACGGUCCAGACUCCUACGGGAGGCAGCAGUAGGGAAUCUUCCGCAAUGGGCGAAAGCCUGACGGAGCAACGCCGCGUGAGUGAUGAAGGUCUUCGGAUCGUAAAACUCUGUUAUUAGGGAAGAACAUAUGUGUAAGUAACUGUGCACAUCUUGACGGUACCUAAUCAGAAAGCCACGGCUAACUACGUGCCAGCAGCCGCGGUAAUACGUAGGUGGCAAGCGUUAUCCGGAAUUAUUGGGCGUAAAGCGCGCGUAGGCGGUUUUUUAAGUCUGAUGUGAAAGCCCACGGCUCAACCGUGGAGGGUCAUUGGAAACUGGAAAACUUGAGUGCAGAAGAGGAAGGUGGAAUUCCAUGUGUAGCGGUGAAAUGCGCAGAGAUGUGGAGGAACACCAGUGGCGAAGGCGACUUUCUGGUCUGUAACUGACGCUGAUGUGCGAAAGCGUGGGGAUCAAACAGGAUUAGAUACCCUGGUAGUCCACGCCGUAAACGAUGAGUGCUAAGUGUUAGGGGGUUUCCGCCCCUUAGUGCUGCAGCUAACGCAUUAAGCACUCCGCCUGGGGAGUACGACCGCAAGGUUGAAACUCAAAGGAAUUGACGGGGGCCCGCACAAGCGGUGGAGCAUGUGGUUUAAUUCGAAGCAACGCGAAGAACCUUACCAAAUCUUGACAUCCUUUGACAACUCUAGAGAUAGAGCCUUCCCCUUCGGGGGACAAAGUGACAGGUGGUGCAUGGUUGUCGUCAGCUCGUGUCGUGAGAUGUUGGGUUAAGUCCCGCAACGAGCGCAACCCUUAAGCUUAGUUGCCAUCAUUAAGUUGGGCACUCUAAGUUGACUGCCGGUGACAAACCGGAGGAAGGUGGGGAUGACGUCAAAUCAUCAUGCCCCUUAUGAUUUGGGCUACACACGUGCUACAAUGGACAAUACAAAGGGCAGCGAAACCGCGAGGUCAAGCAAAUCCCAUAAAGUUGUUCUCAGUUCGGAUUGUAGUCUGCAACUCGACUACAUGAAGCUGGAAUCGCUAGUAAUCGUAGAUCAGCAUGCUACGGUGAAUACGUUCCCGGGUCU